UACAGAGGUCCCAAGCGUUGUUCGGAUUCACUGGGCGGAAAGGGUGCGUAGGUGGCGAGGUAAGUCUGAUGUGAAAUCUCCGAGCUCAACUCGGAAACUGCAUCGGAUACUAUUUUGCUCGAGGGUUGGAGGGGAGACUGGAAUACUUGGUGUAGCAGUGAAAUGCGUAGAUAUCAAGUGGAACACCAGUGGCGAAGGCGAGUCUCUGGACAACUCCUGACACUGAGGCACGAAAGCUAGGGGAGCAAACAGG
rnacentral:rRNA from 1 species